UUCAUGUAAAUAUUUAUAAAAUUUAUUUUAUUUUAAAUAAAAAUGGUUUUUGUAUAUAUAACAAAAUAGCCUGUCAUCUGUCAUUUCUUCUUCUUUUUUCGGCUGUCAUCUGUCAUUUCUUCUUCUUUUUGGGCAGUUACCUGUCAUUUUUUUCUUCUUUUUUGGCUGUCAUGUGUCAUUUGUUAGCAAAUAAUUUAGUAGAAUUUUUGGUAGAUUUCAUCCUCAAUCUAGUAGAAUUUAGCAGAUUUUAUAUAUAAAUCUAGUAGAAAACGAGGUUCGGUCGUUGGCAACCCUGAUUCUGUACGUUCUGUACUGUAAGUUAUAAAAGUUGAAAAGCAAAAUAAAACGUGUUAUAAAUAGAAGCAGAAUCCAUUGAAAUAAAUUUCCAUUUAUUUGAAGGAACGUGGUAACAAACAACACAUAAGAAUAUAAAUUUAAUAUCAAGAAGAUGGAGGGCCAGCCCCGUUAUUUGGGUGCUCAACAAGAACAUGUACAAUAUGAAUUAACAACAGCAAUUACCAGUAUCCAGGAUUUGGUGGACAUAGGAUUUAUUCGCAACGAGUUGCCAAUGGGGGACUUAACAGUUGGAAGUUCAUCUGGUCAACUACACAGUCAAAAAUCUCUAAACAAGAAAGAAAAAUUGUUUAAAUGUGAAGUUUGUUCUAAACUAUUUUCUACCAUGUCUAGUUUAAAAAGGCACAUGCAGGGACAUACUGGUGACAGACCAAACUAUAAGUGUGAAAUUUGUUCCGACAUACUUUCUAACGGUUACACUUUAAAACGUCACUUACAAAAGCAUACUGGUGAGAAACCUUAUGAAUGUGAGAUAUGCUCAAAGCGAUAUUUGGACAAGCAUGAUUUAAAACGCCAUAUAAACGCCAUGCACACUGAAAGAACACCUGCCAAAUGUGAUAUUUGUUCAAAGCAAUUUAGAUCUCAGAAUUAUUUAAAGUUUCAUUUACGAGUACAUGAUAUAAACUAUUUGCCAAACAAAUCCGUACCAUAUAAACCAGUUAAAUGUGAAAUCUGUUCAAAAGAGUUGUAUAAUAAGGGUCAUUUAAAGUUUCAUAUGCGCAUCCAUAAUGGUGACUUAAAAUGUAAAAUUUGUUCAAAAGAGUUUACCCGCAGGUAUGCUUUAACCAUGCAUAUGUUAACACAUUCUGAAAAGAAAUUGUUCAAAUGUUAUGUAUGUCGGAAGGAGUUUACUCUACCUUCUGGUUUAAGAUAUCAUAUGCGAAGUCAUACUGGCGAGACUUAUAACUGCAAAUUGUGCUCUAAACAGUUUCGUACGAAGCAUUUGUUAGUCAUCCACAGGCAAUCGCACACUGGAAAGAAACCAAAAUGUGAAAUAUGUCAAAAAGAAUUUGCCACCAAUGCUAUUUUAAGAUAUCAUUCAAGAAUGCACACUGGACUAAAACCUCACAAAUGUAAAAUUUGUGAAAAAGAAUUUACUCAUAGAACUACUUGGAAAAAUCAUGUACAAUUUCAUACUGGACUAAAACCUCACAAAUGUUUAAUUUGUAAAAAAGCAUAUGCCCUGAAAAAUAGUUUACAUUCACACAUGCGAACACAUUCUGCUGAUAGAAAUUUCAGAUGUGACUUUUGUAAAAAAUCAUUUAAUCGAAAGCUCGCUUUCUCACAACAUUUACAAUUACAUAUGGGAAGAAAACCCUACGAGUGUGAAUUUUGUGAUAAAUCAUUUUUUUUGGAGAGUAGUUUAAAACGCCAUGUACAACUGCAUGAACGUACUGUUUUCAAAUGUGAAAUUUGUGGAAGAGAAUUUACUCUGGAGUCGUCUUUUAAACGUCAUGUACAAUUUCAUGCUACCGGUAAACCUUUCAAAUGUGGAAAGUGUAAAAAAGAAUUUGUUCGCGAAGCUCAUUUAAAACGCCACAUACAAUUUAAUCGUUGUUUUUUAAAAUGUCAGCAUUGUAAAACAGAAUUUACUAAAAGGUCUUCUUACAGACGGCAUUUAAAAUACCAUGCUCAGUUGAAUAGUUUAAAACAACAGCUGAAGCUGUAUGCUGUUGAUAAACCUUUCAAAUGUAAAUUCUGUAGAAAAGAAUUUACACAAAAAAAUUCUUUGACACGUCAUUUACAAUUACAUAAAGGACAAAAAUGUUACAAAUGUGAAAUUUGUAGAAAAAAAUUUAUCCAGAAGAAUGCUUUCAGAGAUCAUAUAAAAUUGCAUACUGGACUAAAACCGUAUAAGUGUGAAGUUUGUCCAAAAAAAUUUACUCAGAAGAGUACUUUAAAACUUCAUAUGCGAUUGCAUAAUGGUGAGACAUCUUACAAAUGUGAAAUUUGUUCGCGCAUGUUUAGUUGGAAGACUAGUUUAAAGGACCAUAUGGAUUUACAUGCUAAAGAGGAAUUACUCGAAUGUAAUAAGUGUGGCACUAUUUACUAAUAGGUCAGGCAACUAAGUAUUUUUCAGGGCUCCUGUGUCGUACUCCACUUGCUAUUUCUAUCUAGGUUUUUCAUAUCUUUUAUUAGAUAGGGUCUUGUUAAAAUGUCAAAGGCUAACUUGAAAUCUAUGAAAAGGAUGUGUCGAUAUCAUAUUCGUAGCAUUUCUCAAUUGACUGUGAUUAUGUGUACUGCGUCUAUUGCUGACCUUUCCUUUCUAAAUCCUUGCUGGUAGUCUCCUAUUUUAGUUUCAAUAUAUUUUGAGACAUCAUUCAAGUGUGCACAGUGUACAAAAGCCGUACGAAUGUAAAAUAUGUGCAAUAGCUAUUUGUAUAACAAGGAAGGAAAGUGUAACUUUUCCUCCCGAGAAUGAAGUUUACUGCCCGACGCGUAGCGGAGGGCAGUAAUCAUUCAAGGGAGGAAAAGGCACUUUACUCCCAUGUUAUACAUAUGGGUUUUCCACCUUCCUCAAAUAACAAUUAAUUUUUUCAUUUUUACUUAAUUUAUUUAUGUAACUAACCAACAAAAUUUAUUAGAACUAAAACAACAAGUAGGUACAAUAUAACUGUCAACUGUCAAAUAUAAGUCAAAUUAUUAAUGUAAACAUUGUUAAAUCAAAAUAACAAUUUACUGUUUUUUACCAUUCUGCAAAAUACAGGAUGUUUUAUAAAUAAACGUUAAAAUGUAUAGAUACUUCGUAAUAGAAAAUAGAUAUUAUACAGGGCGUCAAUAAGUUAUAUUUCAUGAAUGAAAUACCAUGACGUCACUUUUACUUUUCCUCCCUAGGGAGGAAAAAUAUUCUCCUCCCUAGGGAGGAGAAGUACAACUUUGCUCCCUACAAUCAGGUCCGGAAAAGUAUACUUUCGGUAGAGGUAGGUGGAAAAAGAAUUUACUCAUACACUCACCGGCACAAAAUUCAACCACCCAAAAUUUUUGAUUAAGUUUGAAAAUUUGUAACUUUAUUAUUUGUACUCCGAUUUUCAAGAUUCUUCCAUGAGUUUGUAGGUACAUGUGUUGAUCUUGUUUGCUAUUAUUCUGGUAACAGACAUUUUUUGCUUAGAUGGCAUUAUACGGGGAAGAAUGGAAGCGUUGUUUUUUCUCCUAACUUUAAAAAAUUUUGUGGAAAAAUUGGAGGGCUGAUUCUGUUUCAUACUCCUUUUGUAUUAUCCUGGAGGUAUCACUAAGGUUUUUGUUUUUUGAAUUAUCCGAAUAUCUCUUUUCUUGUAAGAUUUAAUUAAAAACUCUGCUUUGAAGGUUUAUUUAAUUAAAAAUAUCAAACGCACUAAAAUUAACAAAAUAAAACAAAAUUAACAACAAAAAAAAAAACAAAUCAAUAGCGGGUAUAUCCACCUCUUGCAGCAACGACUGCUCGCAAUCUGUUUAGCAUCGAAUAAAUAUGUGUUUUCCUUGCCUGGGGAAUAGCCCGAUAUUUCUCUACCAGGGCCAUAAUUGUACCAAAUUUUCUGAAGGCCUAGGAUGACGGCAAAUAGCUUUUUUUUAUUCAUCCCAUAAAUGCUCAAUAGGAUUGAGAUCUGGGCUGCAUGCGGGCCAUUCUAAUCUUAUCAAUCCAACCUCUAUUUUAUGAGUCAAUCAGUGUUUUUAUUUACAAAAAAAUGGUACAGCUCUUACAAGAAAAAAGAUAUUCGGAUAAUUCAAAAAACAAAAUGUUGUUGAUGCCUCCGGGAUAAUCUGACAGGACUAUGAAACAAAAUCGGCUAUUCCAUUUUUCCACAGAAUUUUUUAAAAUUAGGAGAAAAUACAACGCUUCUUUUCACCCCUGUAUAAUGCCAUGCAAGAAAAAAAUUUUAUUACCGGAAUAAUACGAAACAAUAUCAAUACAUGUACCUACAAAAUGGUGCAAGAAUCUUGAAAAUCGGAGCACAAAUAAUAAAGUUAUAAAUUGUCAAACUUAAUCAAAAAUUUUGGGUGGCGGAAUUUUGUGCCGGUGAGUGUAGAACUACUUGGAAAAAUUAUGUACAGUUUCAUAGUGGACAAAAACCUCACACAUGUUUAAUUUGUAAUGAAGCAUAUGCCCUAAAAACUAGUUUACAUUCACACAUGCGAACACAUUUUGCUGAUAGAAAUUUCAGAUGACUUUUGUAAAAAAUAAAUUUUGUAAAAUUUUGUAAAAAGCUCGCUUUCGCACAUUUACAAUUACAUAUGGGACAAAAACCUUACGAGUGUGAAUUUUGUGAUAAAUCAUUUUUUUUUGGAGAGUAGUUUAAAACGCUAUGUACAACUGCAUGAACAUACUGUUUUCAAAUGUGAAAUUUGUGGAAGAGAAUUUACUCUGGAGUCGUUUUUUAAACGUCAUGUACAAUUUCAUGCUACUGGUAAACCUUUCAAAUGUGGCAAGUGUAAAAAAGAAUUUUUUCGCGAAAUUCAUUUAAAACGCCACAUACAAUUUAAUCGUUGUUUUUUAAAAUGUGAGCAUUGUAAAACAGAAUUUACUAAAAGGUCUUCUUACAGACGGCAUUUAAAAUACCAUGCUCAGUUAAAUAGUUUAAAACAACAGCUGAAGCUGUAUGCUGCUGAUAACCUUUCAAAUGUAAAUUCUGUAGAAAAGAAUUUACACAAAAAAAUUCUUUGACAUGUCAUUUACAAUUACAUAAAGGACAAAAAUGUGAAAUUUGUAGAAAAAAAUUUAUCCAGAAGAAUGCAUUCUGAGAUCAUAUAAAAUUGCAUACUUGACUAAAACUGUAUAAAUGUGAAGUUUGUCCAAAAACAUUUACUCAGAACAGUACUUUAAAAUUUCAUAUGAGAUUGCAUAAUGGUGAGACAUCUUACAAAGUGAAAUUUGUUCGCGCAUGUUUAGUUGGAAGACUAGUUUGAAGGACCAUAUGAAUUUACAUGCUAAAGAGGAAUUACUCGAAUGUAAUAAGUGUGGCAAUAUUUACUAAUCAUCAUCAUGGCAUCUACACUCCUAGUGGAGUGAUUGUAGCCCUCUUUGGGCUUUCUGAUUCAUUUGUCGCGGUGAAUCAAUCCGCAUUAACAUUUUGGUUUUACAAUUAGUCCAGAAAGCCACUGCGCAUCCGAUAGGAAAAAUAUUCCGAUUCGGAUUUUUUGCACAAUCUUACCCAAAAAUGACCCCUUUUAACAAAUUUGAAUGUUGCCAGGACCAAAAGUGGGUCAACAAUUUUUUAAACUUUUUUUUUUGUUUUUUUUCCUAAAAUUAUGUUUUUUUGCAUGGAACAAAGUUUUUUUAGGUUUCUUGGAUCAUUCCAAACAGAAAAGGUAUUUAGUGACAUUUCUCUAAAGUUGAUAGUUUUUGACAUAUACGCUGUGAGCUCGUACGUAGAGGGGAUAUUUAUAAAUUCGUGAGCGCCAGUAGUGACAAGUCUGUAAACGUUUACCGGAAAUUUGACAUAAAUGUCAAAGUGAUUAAUUUUAAAUUAAAAACAUUAAUUAUAAAAAAUAUUAGUUGAUCAAAGCUGUGGUUUAUAUUUUUACCUUAAAUAUACUUACGUUUUAAAUACUGAAUUUGCGUUUUUUAAUGUUCUGUAAUAUGUAAUUAUAAAUUAAUCUUGGCGCCAUCUACAUGAUAAUUGUGAAAGUAUCCGAAGUAAGAAAUUAAUAUUUCAUCAAUAGAACGUCAAAAUGAUUAGCAAAAUCUUAAAAAAAUCUAUUACAAUUUAAUUACUUUUUAGCGUUGUAAAUAUUAAGCGAUAACAAUUAAAUAAUAAAUUUAAAAAUUACCGGUGAAAGUUGAAUCAGUAACCGCUAGGAGCGACACCAGCGAAGCUCAGAGCGUAUAAGCGAUUAAAAAUUGAAAAAUUGCGAAAUCGGCCAUUUUUAACCUUCAAAAACUAUGUGAAAAACUGAAAAUUUGAAUGUUGCUAAGGUAGGUAGAUAUUCUUUAAACAUCGAUUGAUGAAAUCCCGAAUAGUUUUUUGCAAUACAAUAUUCAAAACUCCUUUGUUUUUUAAUUGCUAAUCAAGAGUGCGCGACACUAUUUUCACCGACAGUAUGGUGCAAAUGAAAGGAAUAAAUUCGUUAAUUCGCAAACCGGCGACUUUAAGGAAAAAUCCCGAAACAGGUCGAUUUUUAUUUUUAACUUAUGAUAUUGUGGCAUAUAUGGUAUACUAGUGACGUCAUCCAUCUGGGCGUGAUGACGUAAUCGAUGAUUUUUUUAAAAGAGAAUAGGGGUAAUGUACUAGCUCAUUUGAAGUACUAGUUUCAAUUCUCUAUUCAGUCAUAUAAACAUGUACAUAAUUAUUUAUACAGGGUGUCCUUCUACUUCUUUUUUGUCAAAUAAUUUAAUUUAAUAAAAAUUUUUUGGACACCCUGUAUAAAUAAUUAUGUAAAUGUUUAUAUUACUGUAUAGAGAAUUCAAGAACCUUUCAAAUGAGCUAGCACACGACCCCUAUUCUUAUUUAAAAAAAUCAUUGAUUACAUCAUCACGCCCAGAUGGAUGACGUCACUAGUAUACCAUAUAUGCCACAAUAUGAUAACAUAAAAAUAAAAAUCGACCUGUUUCGGGAUUUUUCCUUAAAGUCGCCGGUUUACGAAAUAACGAAUUUAUUUCUUUUAUUUGCACCAUACUGUAUACACAUGCAACGGUGGAAAAUAGUGUUUGCGCACGCUUGAUUAGCAAUUAAAAAGCAAAAGGAAUUUUGAAUAUUGUAUUGCAAAAAACUACUCGGGAUUUCAUCAAUCGAUGUUUAAAGAAUAUCUAAAUACAUAUCUUGGCAAUAUUCAAAUUUUCAGUUUUUCACACAGUUUUUGAAGGGUAAAAAUGGCCGAUUUCGCAAUUUUUCAAUUUUUAAUCGCUUAUAUGUCAAAAACUAUCAACUUUAGCGAAAAGUCACUAAAGACCUUUUCUGUUUGGAAUGAUCCAAGAAACCUAAAAAACUUUGCAUGCAAAAAAAAUUAUUUUAGGAAUAAAUAAAAAAAAAACGUUUAAAAAAUUUCUGACCAACUUUUGGUCCUGGCAACAUGCAAAUUUGUUAAUAGGGGUCCUUUUUGAGUAAGAUUGUGCAAAAAAUCCGAAUCGGAAUAUUUUUCCUAGCGGAUGCGCAGUGGCUUUCUGGACUAAAUUUGUUGUGUGGCUUGGCAUCUUUUACAGUUUUUCUCCAUUUUCUCCCGUUUCUCCUGUUUUUGCUUAUGGUUACCCAUUCUCUGACUCCCAUCUUCUUAAGGUCCUCGACUAUCUGGUUCUCCCAUCUAGUUUUGGGUCUUCCUCGUGGUCUGCCUUCUACAGGUCUCCAUUUGGAAAUUUUCUUGAUAACGGCUUCUGGAUUUCUCCUUUCUAUAUGUCCCAUCCAUCUGAGUCUCUGUGCCUUGAUAAAUCUGACGAUUUAUUGUUCUUUCUAUGGCGACAUUAAAUAGUGACGUUGAUAGAGAGUCGCCUUGUCGACUCCACUUGCUAUUUCUAUCUCGGUUUUUCAUGUCUGUUAUUAGAUAGGGUCUUGUUAAGAUGUCAAAGUCUUGGUUGAAAUCUAUAAAAAGAAUGUGUCGAUAUCGUAUUCGUAGCAUUUCUCAAUUGACUGUGAUUAUGUAUACUGCGCCUAUUACUGACCUUCCCUCUCUAAAUCCGUGCUGGUAGUCUCCUAUUUUAGUUUCAAUGUAUUUUGCUGUUGGAACACAUUCUGCUGAUAGAAAUUUCAGAUGUGACUUGUGUAAAAAAUCAUUUAAUCGAGAGCUCGUUUUCGCGCAACAUUUACAAUUACAUAUUAUGGGAAGUAGUUUAAAACGUCAUGUACAACUGCAUGAACGUGCUGUUUUCAAAUGUGAAAUUUGUGGAAAAGAAUUUACUCUGGAUUCGUUUUUUAAACGUCAUGUACAAUUUCAUGCUACUGGUAAACCUUUCAAAUGUGGCAAGUGUAAAAAAGAAUUUAUUCGCGAAAUUCAUUUAAAAGGCCACAUACAAUUUAAUCGUUGUUUUUUAAAAUGUGAGCAUUGUAAAACAGAAUUUACUAAAAGGUCUUCUUACAGACGGCAUUUAAAAUAUCAUGCUCAGUUGAAUAGUACAGCUGAAGCUGUAUGCUGCUGAUAAACCUUUCAAAUGUAAAUUCUGUAGAAAAGAAUUUACACAAAAACAUUCGUUGACACGUCAUUUACAAUUACAUAAAGGACAAAAAUGUUACAAAUGUGAAAUUUGUAGAAAAAAAUUUAUCGAGAAGAAUGCUUUCAGAGAUCAUAUAAAAUUACAUACUGGACUAAAACCCUACACAUGUGAAGUUUGUCCAAAAAAAUUUACUCUGAAAAGUACUUUAAAACUUCAUAUGCGAUUGCAUAAUGGUGAGACAUCUUACAAAUGUGAAAUUUGUUCGCGCAUGUUUAGUUGGAAGACUAGUUUGAAGGACCAUAUGGAUUUACAUGCUAAAGAGGAAUUACUCGAAUGUAAUAAGUGUGGCACUAUUUACUAAUAGGUCAGGCAAAUAAGUAUUUCUCAGGUCUCCUCAUCAUCCAUCCAUUUGCGUCCACUGCUGGGCAUAGGCCUCCCUCAUUUUUGUCCAUUGUGCUCUAUUUUGCGCACUGCAUCCAAAUCUUGACAUAUUCUACUUCUUUUAUCUAAUCUCGGCAUCCACUCCACUAAUCUCUUCGUCCACCUUUAUCACUGAUUCGGGCGACGUGUCCGGCCCAGUUCCAUUUCGGUGUGACAAUUCAGGUAAUUACAUCGGUAACCCCUGUUCUUCGUCCUAAGUCUUCAUUUCUAACUCUGUCACGAAGUGAUAUACUCAGCAUUGAUCAUUCCAUUUUCCUCUGAGCUAUUUGCAGCGUUUUAAAAGUUGUAGCUGUCAAUGUCAUUUCGGCACCAUCGGUCAUCACAGGUAACACACAUGCUAGGUUUGUUCUUUGUAGUUCGCAUGUUUGCUUGUCUUUUGUGAUCUAUAGUUUGCGUCCAAGGUAUAUGUAUUUUUCCACCAGCUCUACGUCUUUGUCUCCAAUAUUGAUAUUUCCGCUAGGUAUUAGGUUUGUCAUAAAUUUAGUUUUGGAGAUGUUUAUUUUAAGACCCACACUAGAACACACUAACUGAAGUUCAUGUAGGAUUUAACAUAUCUCCUUUAGGUUGUCCGAGAACAAAGCUAUGUCGUCUGCGAAUUUCAAAUUUGUCACUCUUCUACCGUCAAUGUUCAGGUUUCUCCCUUCCCAGUUAAGUUUCUUACAAGCAUAUUCUAGUACUGCGAUGAUGAGAUAUCGGACUCAUCUACCGAUUGAAAUAUGAUCGGUGUCAGGGCUUCUCAAUGGCAGGUACUUGCCAAGUUUUUCCGCUGAUAUAUGCCUAUAUCACGAAAACCUAGAUUGUUAUACCUCGAUAUGAGACCAUGAGCCAAAGAAGUAACAUUCUGGGAUACAGUACCUCAGUGGCGGCUCGUACCACUUUAAGAAGGUAGUGCCAGAACUCGGGCAGCCGCCAAAAUUUUUAGUGACAGAUUCACGAUAUUGUCAAAAAAGAUACUGACAACAAAAACUAAAAAAAAAAUAUGCGCGGAUACUUUUAUCUUAUGUAUCUUAAGUUUAUUGAUCUGAGGUGCCAAGCAAUUGUCCAACAUUGAUCAAAACAGUUCCGUAAAUUAAUUAAUAAUAAAAAAACCUCUUAACCUACUACCAGCAUUUACUGCUGAUAGUGAUAGUGCUUGAAAAUUGUUAUUACGAUUUAGUCUCUAUUUACCAAUUUAUAAAAAUAAUACUAUUUCAUUAUUCACACAUGCACACAUUUUUGUAAUGUCACUUUUAAAGUUUACGAUAUAUGAAGUUCAUUGUUCUAUUUUUUAGUUGCAAAGUUUUCAAUGACUUUAUAAUUAAAAUUAUCAGUAGUAAUAGGGAACUUGCAUAAAUUUUUAAAUUCGAAAAAAAUGUUAUAAAUCACAACACAACAUAAUUUAAAACAUGUAUCAAAGAUAAAAAAGUUUUGUUUGUCUUUCGUUUGGCCCGUAAAGACGAUUAAAAAUUCAAAUUAAAACAGGUGGUCCAAAACGCGUCGUGACGUCACUUGGUUUUACAUUUACAUUUUUCCAAUAAAGUAAACAGAAUUUUAAAUUAGACGUUAUAAACGUCAGUAGAAAAUACAUUUAUGUGACGUUACAAGUGUUUUUGAUCGUUUGAAUUAUUCAUAGAAAAAUUCGUACUUUUACAAAAUGGUUUUAUUUUCAAUAGUAAACCUUCGUUCCUUUCCUUCAAAAACAGUAUAAAACUACAAUUUUAACAAACUGGUAUAUAUUAUUACAAUGACAUACGAUAAAUGUCAUUAGAAUAUAAAUAUUUUUGACUUAUUCCACGACGAUGAGCUUGCCAAAUACCCAAGUAGGUGGAGGCCAAUAAACUAAAGAAGGAGAAGAAGAAUAUACCUAUUAUAAGGUUGGGUCUAGGUAUACGUUACCGUGUACGCAAACAAAAAAGUUAGAGUGUCAGUGAUUUCUUAUUUAUUAUUUGUUUAGUGUUUGUUUUUAAAUUAACUACGGAGUGUGGACAAUUAGUUAGUUCUUUUAAUGAGUUUAAGAACAUUUUAAAACAGUACGAACAAGAUAAGAGACUAUAAAUUAAUAUAUAUAUUUUUUAGUUAUAAAUGAAGUAGUAUGUAUUACCGUAAAAUAUUAAAAUAAAAAGAAGACCUAAAGCUUUCACAAUAAUAAUUAACUUGUUCUGAAGCUAUUAUCCUUCUUUCAUUUUUGUAAUCAACUAUUCUAAAUGGGAACUAAGCCACAAUUUAACCAAAAAAGGAUUUUAUUAACGUUUCGACGUCUAAAUCGGACGUCGUUGUCAAAAUACAAAAUAUUAUUAAAUUAAACAAAAAUGGUGUUGCUUAGUAAAAAAUUUUUCUAAUAAUUUAUUUAAUCUGACUAAUUUUUGUAUUUUGACAAUGACAUCCGAUUUGGACGUCGAAACGUUAAUAAAAUCAUUUUUUUAGUUAAAUUGUGGCUUAUUUCACAUUUAGAAUAGUUGAUUAUAAUAAUUAACUUACGUAUAAAAAUUAUUUUAACAAUAUUUUUUACGUGUUAUGUCAACUAAAUACAUAUAUUUAUUUUGCUAACCUAAAUAUAUACUUUAAUAUAUACAUUGAUUUAUUACAACUAAGUUUGAAACACCUGAAUAGUUCUGCUUCCCUUCCUUUAACAAAUAUUUUUCUAUCAAACACACGCUAAACAUAUCAAAAUAGCAUGUACCAAAAUAUACAGUCACUGCGCACGCUAAAUAAUAACGUCACUGGCUUGAUGAAGUUUAAUUCGCGUGUACAUACCUAACUUUUUUAUUUGCGUACACGUUAGUGUGUACCUAGACACAGCGAAAUAUAACCAUAAUAAUAACUAAUGUAAAACUAUGUGACGUCACGGGUCGUUUGAACUAUUUUAUACCGCUGAAGACUUUAAAUACGUAUUUCUAAGUUAUUAUGAGUUUUUGAAGCGUGAAAUUUUGGAAAUCUCAUUUUUAAACAAAACUGAACAUUAUGUAAUAAAAAAAAAUUGUGCAAGUUCCCUAUUGCACAAGAGCUCUGAAAUUAUUGAAUUUUUCCCGAGUGACACUUUGACAGUUUUAAUUUCACGAGCCGAAGGCGAGUGAAAUUAUGUCAAAGUGUCACGAGAGCAAAAAUUCUAUAUUAAUUUCAGAGGUCGAGUGCAAUUUGUUGCGAUUAUUUCAUGAAUAAAACUGUUCAAAACCAAAAUUUUAUUGUAAUCUAUUUAUGUAAGUACCAUUAAACACACAGUCUUUAUAAAUAUUUGACGAUUGAAAGUCAUCACUUUUAUAAUUUUUAAAACAUUAAUUGUCAUUAAUGUCACUGAAUGUAUUUUUUCGUAGCAACGAAGGGCAUCUGACGUAAUAUACUUAACGACGGGAGAUUAUCAAAAAUUAUCGAUUUAAUUCAGAUUUCUGUAGCUUUCUAUUGGUCAGAAUCUCCUAUGAAUGAAAUAAUCAAUACAAUUUACAAAAUGCUUUUCUGCAGAUAGCAUACCUAAAGCACUAUGUUUUAACAUCGAAAAACAGCGUUCUGCUUCAGAUGCUGAUAUAUGAAUAGUAACUAAAAUUCUUAAAAGUUUAAUAGUUUCUUCAAAUGUGCUUUUUAAACCUUCCCUCUACAAUAAAACCGAUAGCGAAACAGCCCCAGAGGUAGUACUUAAUUCGUCUCGCUAAUACAGUACUUACUUCUUAUUCAGUUUUAAACCGAGUUUUGCUUAAAAAUUAAAAUUGUCUCCAUGUUUCGUUAAGAAAUGAUUCGAAAAACUGAUGCUUAUAAGCAGAAAACUUGUCCUACAUAAAUAAAUUAGAAGCAACUAAAUGUCCGGAGAAGGUAGACCUUUGAAAGAUCUGGUACUUUGAAUAAUAUGAACCUUUAAGUCGUUGUCUAAUUCGGCGCUAAAAUUGACCAGCUCCUUAAAUAUGUCUCUAUUUUCUGAAUUUUCUUUUUCGUCGUGACCUCUUAAAGCUAACUCGAAAGCUCCACAACACCUUAUAACAUUUAUAGUUUUUUUUUCUAGCGAAAAACCACCAAAAAAAUUUUUUAAGAUACUAAUCUUCAUUGUCAAUUAAUAAAUUAAACUUAAGAAAUAAUCAAAAUAUAUUAUCAAAAUACCCACGAUCAUGAUGCACUAAAAGUUUAAUUAUAAAUACAAAAACUUUUUAACAGAAAAUAUACAUAAUAAAAGCGACAAACCAGCACGCAAAGGAACUCAAAAUAAAUAGACCUGGCAUCAUACCCUCGUGCCUGGCACAGAGAUUCUAAUUUUAAGGUAUUGGGACCGUGCAAGUUCGGCAAAGCGACCCCUAUUUCUUCGCUCUGUACUUUUAUUCGCACUUUUAAUUAUAUUGGCCAAUUAUAUUAGUCCUGGUUACUGGAUAAUUGUCAAGGCCAUAUUCCAAAAAAAUAGUAAGAAGAAAAAAUAAGAUUCAGGUUAUGUUAUGAAAACGUGAACAAUUGUAUGCAGUAAAUAAAAUUAGUUAUUAAAAUGCAGUACUGCACUCAAAAUACAAUUAAUUAAAUUUACCUUUAUAUAAUAAUUGCAUAUCAUAUCAAUAUUGUGGAGCAAUAUAUAAUUGUUCUGCUUCAAUGACAGAAGGUAUGAAAUAUACGUCAAUUUGACAAUUUCAAUUGACAAUAUGAAUUAUUUAAGAUAGUUGCAAUAUUUCUCCGCGACUCGCGCACGGUCGUUUCGGGUUUCCCUUCCAAGUACUUGCACACCGCGAAUGCUAAUAGUCCAAUAUGGCUCUUUCUCUGUCACUUACAUAGAAUGCUCGUAAAAUCUUUCUCUCUUUAGUCGUGCCAGUACUGACUUCGGCACGAUGGAUAUUCUCCUGUCGUAUACUCUCCGCUGUCGGCAGGGAUUGUAUUACGCCCAUAGUUGCCAUAUUUUAUAUAAUUUAUCAAAAGAAAUACACACAAAAAAAAAAGUUAACAGGAAUUAAAAAGUUUUGAAGAUAAAAAAUAUGUUUCUGCAUAGUUAGCAAGGUAGUGCCAUGGCUCUAUGGCACUACCUCACGGGCCGCCACUGCAGUACCUGUAAACAACUCAUAGUUUUAGUACUAUUACUACUACAAAAGGCUAUUUUGUCACAAAACGCUUUGAUACUAGUUAUUAAAACUUUUUUUAACGAGAUUUUUAUCCUUAAAUGUUUAUGUUUUAUAAUUGCUAAAUGUUCUGUCAUUUGGAACCGUCUGUGGACAGUCGGAGGAAUUUUACAAUAUUUGUAAAAUAUAUACAUUUCCAUCCGUUCUAAAAUAUGGAAAAUAUUUCAUAUAUUGAGUUAUUAUAGCACUCACUGAUCGUUUUUGUUUAGGCAGUUUGAAUAAGUCUUGAGUUGAUGAAAGAAAUGAAAGUUGAUUCAUUCUCACUUAUAUUAUUUUUGAAAGUGCUCUAUUCUAGUACAGUGGAACCUCGGUAAGUCCCUAAGGGACCGAGGCCGAUCCGGGUUAUCGAAAAUACGGGUUAGCCGGAGAAUAAGAUAAAAAUUAAUAAAAUACGGUAUACUUACAGAUAAACUCCAGUAUAAUUAAUUGCAAAAAUAUGAAAUACAUAUUCACAGUACAUCUAAAUUACGUAGUUGUAUUAAGUAUUUUUUAUUUCUUGGUAAAAAACUCGGUCAAAGUAAAAAAAAUGUUUGUUUUGUCUGAUGAAAAUCGGUCCGGGUUAUCGGAGGCCGACUUAUCGGGGUUCCACUGUACUAUGGAAUUAGGAAAUACCCAAACAUUUCAUAUAAUGUUUAAUCCCUUUGUACCCAUCCAUCCCUCAAUAUGUAUGCAUAAUUGUAAACGCAUAAUUAUACGAACCCUAGUUACGAUAAUUUGAUGAAUUUGAUUUAAGUUCUUAUUGUUAAGUAAAAUAGAUAAUUACAAUAAUUAAUAAUAGUUAAUAUUUUCUUGCAUAGUUAAGAUAGUUUGAUUAGUUUGAUACAAUUUCGUAUGAAUUACAAUUGAUAGUGUGUAAGAUAUUAAUAAAUUAUUUUUUUAACUGUUUUUAUAUUUAAAUAUUUUAACUUCCACUGUGACUACUUUGCAACCCUGUGGCAUUAAUAGCCACUUUACACGAUGCAAGUAAUUGCGAAAUUUAUUGCACAAGUUCUUGCAGCAAGAACUUCUGCAAUAAGUUGCAACUAGCUUUCUGCAAUAAAGUGAUUACACAGUGCAAGUAAUUGCAUAAACUGACAUGAAAUGGACAGAAACUUUGACAUACCAUAAGUUUUGGGUUAUGUUGUUUUUAUAAAUUAAAAAUGUAAUUUUUUUAGUAGAGUUAUCAGAUAUAUUAGAUUGAAAAUGUUAGAUUAUAAUUUGAGAAAAGUAUAAUAUGUAUUAUGUAUAACAAAAUCAAUUAAUACCUAAUGCAAGUAUACCUAUAAUACAUUAUUCAUUUACAAAAGGAAACAAGUUGUUAAAUACAAAAGAAAUAAAAAUAGAAUAUAGAUUCUUUAAUCCCUA
rnacentral:misc_RNA from 1 species